rnacentral:rRNA from 1 species
AGUGAACGCUGGCGGUAGGCCUAACACAUGCAAGUCGAACGGCAGCACAGGAGAGCUUGCUCUCUGGGUGGCGAGUGGCGGACGGGUGAGGAAUACAUCGGAAUCUGCCCAGUCGUGGGGGAUAACGUAGGGAAACUUACGCUAAUACCGCAUACGACCUUCGGGUGAAAGAGGGGGAUCGCAAGACCUCUCGCGAUUGGAUGAGCCGAUGUCGGAUUAGCUAGUUGGCGGGGUAAUGGCCCACCAAGGCGACGAUCCGUAGCUGGUAUGAGAGGAUGAUCAGCCACACUGGAGCUGAGACACGGUCCAGACUCCUACGGGAGGCAGCAGUGGGGAAUAUUGGACAAUGGGCGCAAGCCUGAUCCAGCCAUACCGCGUGGGUGAAGAAGGCCUUCGGGUUGUAAAGCCCUUUUGUUGGGAAAGAAAUCUUUCAGGCUAAUACCCUGGGAGGAUGACGGUACCCAAAGAAUAAGCACCGGCUAACUUCGUG